UUCUUUGUAAAUGAUUAGGCCAAUUAUUCUAGUUGUUUACAAGUAGCUAAGAAAAACUAUGGUUAAAGUCUCAAGUUUGUUUAUCUCCUAGGGUUCUUCUUCUUCUUCUUUCAUCCUUUUUAUUCGUCCAUCAUUUAUUGAAACCAGCGAAUGUGUUGAUGACAAAAAGUAUCCUAAGGUUGGAGGAAAUCGCGGAGGAGACUUUUAAAGUUACUCGGAACCGAUCCCCAACACUCACCAAGGUAAGGGAUAAGUGGCUCUGA